rnacentral:rRNA from 1 species
GACGAACGCUGGCGGCGUGCUUAACACAUGCAAGUCGAACGGAAAGGCUCCAGCUUGCUGGAGUACUCGAGUGGCGAACGGGUGAGUAACACGUGGGUAAUCUGCCCUGCACUCUGGGAUAAGCCUGGGAACUGGGUCUAAUACCGGAUAUUACCUUUCUCCUUUUUGGGGUUGGUGGAAAGUUUUUCGGUGUAGGAUGAGCCCGCGGCCUAUCAGCUUGUUGGUGGGGUGAUGGCCUACCAAGGCAACGACGGGUAGCCGGCCUGAGAGGGUGAUCGGCCACAUUGGGACUGAGAUACGGCCCAGACUCCUACGGGAGGCAGCAGUGGGGAAUAUUGCACAAUGGGCGGAAGCCUGAUGCAGCGACGCCGCGUGAGGGAUGACGGCCUUCGGGUUGUAAACCUCUUUCAGCAGGGACGAAGCGUAAGUGACGGUACCUGCAGAAGAAGCACCGGCUAACUAUGUG